rnacentral:rRNA from 1 species
AGUGAACGCUGGCGGUAGGCCUAACACAUGCAAGUCGAACGGCAGCACAGUAAGAGCUUGCUCUUACGGGUGGCGAGUGGCGGACGGGUGAGGAAUACAUCGGAAUCUACUUUUUCGUGGGGGAUAACGUAGGGAAACUUACGCUAAUACCGCAUACGACCUACGGGUGAAAGCAGGGGAUCUUCGGACCUUGCGCGAUUGAAUGAGCCGAUGUCGGAUUAGCUAGUCGGCGGGGUAAAGGCCCACCAAGGCGACGAUCCGUAGCUGGUCUGAGAGGAUGAUCAGCCACACUGGAACUGAGACACGGUCCAGACUCCUACGGGAGGCCGCAGUGGGGAAUAUUGGACAAUGGGCGCAAGCCUGAUCCAGCCAUACCGCGUGGGUGAAGAAGGCCUUCGGGUUGUAAAGCCCUUUUGUUGGGAAAGAAAAGCAGCAGGUUAAUACCCCGCUGUUCUGACGGUACCCAAAGAAUAAGCACCGGCUAACUUCGUG